GGACUACUGGGGUAUCUAAUCCUGUUUGCUCCCCUAGCUUUCGCGCCUCAGCGUCAGGUUUAAUACAGAAAACCGUCUUCACCACCGGUGUUCUUCCACAUAUCUACGCAUUUCACCGCUACACGUGGAAUUCCGUUUUCCCUUACUAACCUCUAGCUAGUCAGUUUCAAAUGCAGCUCCGGGGUUGAGCCCCGGAAUUUCACAUCUGACUUUUCUCGCCGCCUACGCGCCCUUUACGCCCAGUAAUUCCGAUCAAUGCUUGCACCCUCCGUAUUACCGCGGCUGCUGGCAC
rnacentral:rRNA from 1 species